rnacentral:sRNA from 1 species
AUGCGUUAGGGAUAGAAGUGGAAAUCCUUUUUAGGAUUGCCCUGAAGCGUAGCGAGAGGGAAAUCAUGAAAAGAUUGCAACGAAUAGCCCGACCCCGA